GUCUCGUUACCCUAUAAACAAUAAUAUAAUUGAAUGUAAUACAAAUCAGAAAAUCAAUCAUUUAUUAGAUAUCUUUAAUUUUCUGAAGUUCAUUUGUGCUUAUAUAAAUACAAUCAAUCCUUACACUCAAGUGUGUGAUUUGGCACAGUGGAUAGCAAAUCAGACUUUGAAUGAAAAGGCGCUGGGAUCGAUCCUUCGAGUCGGCGUUAAUUUUUUUUUUUUUUUUUUUCGCUAUAAAAUUAAUGGACACACCAUGGAACGAUGAACUCACUGUGGAAAUACGGUGAAUUCACGGUUAAAAAACUGUCAAGCCAUCGGAAAGCCAUUGUAAACUCACCGUGGAUAUCGCUGAAAACCACUGUGGAGCGCACCGUGGUUUUACGGUGGUUUCACCGUAAAACCACCGUGAGAUUACUGUGACCUUACGAUCGAAAUACCGUGGAAACACUCUUUAAGUGCAAUGGAAACGGGGUCGGGAUACAGUAGCGUGACUGCACAAAAAAUACCGUGAUUUCACUGCAUUACAACCACGUUUUCACAGUCGUUCCACGGUGUUUUAACGGUGUUUUUACUGUAAGGUCACCGUGGCGCUAAAAUCGCCAGGGUAGCAGCAAGUAAUCGAAGAACAAUUUAACUUCGAUGACGUGAGAAUAGAAAACCAGGAACAAUUACAUCACAAGAAUCAAGAAAAUGAACAAAUCAAUAACAUUUUACCGCAAUAUAGAUUACCAGUGAAACGGAAAUUAAAAUAUCCUGAUGAAAAUGAGACGUUAAAGCGUCAAAAAUAUUCUGAGCAUGAUAUUGAUAUUAACCGUCAAAUAAAUUUUGAUAAUGAUACUGAAGUUAUGGCCAUCAUUAUUGAACUGAACAAGUUGUUCCCAAUUGGUUGGAGCUUUUUAAUUGGUUACAUUUUUAGAAAAUUAUAAAAAAGAAAUUGAUGGACAAAUAAAAUCAGUCAAUGAUUUAAUUGAAUGGUUAAGAUCUAUGGAACAAAAAAAAAUAUGCAAUGGAACUAGAUUUGAUAAAAAAAGGUAUUUUAUGCAAUUAAAUCGUUUUCAUAAUUACUUUAUAAAGUACAAGGGUACUGAAAUAUUUAAAAUGUUAAUAUGUACUAAAUAAAUAAUUGGUUAAUUGUUUUAAACUAUAUUAAAAUGUCAUGCUGACGUGACUAACAAAUACAAACGUUGCCAAGCUUGUCUGAGAUGUCAAGAAUGUCAAAAACUACGUUUAAAUUUACAAAAAGUAGAAAAAGGUCGAAUGCUUAAUACUAAGAACAAAAUGAAAAGAAAAACUUCUAAAGCUACCAAUUUGGGAUUCUAUAAAAAAACAAAACGUAUUCAACAACAGCUAACAUAUCUACAUUAAAAUUACGUAGUAUUCAAAGAAAAACAAAAACUGUGUAUGAAAGCCAAUCUAAUAAAAAACUUUCUUUGCUACCAAAACAACAACAGAUAACAGUGAGAAUGUGUUUUGAAAACUCCCAAAAAAGGGUCCAACUGGCAGAAGAUAUGAAGUUGAAUGGAUUUAUGAAUGUCUUCUCAUACGAAUGAAAAGCACUUGUACGUACAAUAUGAUACGAGCAAGAAAUAUAAUUCCUCUACCAACUAUUGACACGUUAUCGAAAUAUAUAAAAAAUUAGUUCGUCGAUUUUUGGAUUUUUACCCGAAACGUUUGAAAUCCUACGGAAAAAAGGAGAAUCAAUGGCACCUGAAGAUAAAAUUGGCCAAAUAUCAGCUGAUGAGGUUAAACUUAUGGAAAAUAUUGAGUUUGAUAAAAAAAUAGCUGAGUAUACUGGUUUUGUUGAUCUUGGAAAGUAUACAUCUGAAUCUGAUAGCGACGUUCCUGAAGAUCACGCUCUUGUUUUUAUGUUUGUACCGUAUCGGGGAAAUUCUGCUCAACCUUUAGGAUGCUUUAUUACUAAAAAUUGUAUAACUACUAAAGUUCUUCAUAAGUUAUUUUUAGAAUGUAUUAUACUUGUAGAAUAUGCUGGUUUUCGUGUGAAUUUUCUAGUAACUGACGCUGCUCAAUUUAAUAGAGGAGUUUGGACGAAAUUAGUUGACACAAAUAACAUCAGUUGUGAACAUCUAUGUGAAUCUAGCCGUAGAUUAUAUAUGAUAUCAGACUUCCCACAUUUAGUAAAAUGUUUUCGAAAUGGAUUGGUUGAGUUAGAUGAAUUUGAGAUCCUAAACUCUAUCAAAAAAUGUCUGUUCCAAUGGCUUAUCAGGUAUAAUGAUAAUUUUUUAAUGGCUUUGGAUCAUAAUGAAUAAAUUGUAAUAUUAACAGUUGUACUCACGCGAAGUUCGUUGUGCAAUGACGAUUUUACGAGAAAAUGGAAAUGAAAAAUUCGAAGGCUCAGAACCAACCGAGAAAUUUAUCAAAAUCAUUGAUGAUGGCAUCCAAGCUAUGACUUCGCACGAUGCUAAGAACGCACUAUACUUUAAGGAUACUUGUGAACAAAAGAAGGUUACGAAAUAUCUGUAUCAUUUCUUCCUUGAAAAAAAAAUUAAAUAUAUAUUUAUAUAAUCACUAACUUGCUUCAUUACAUCUUUGGGGUUUAAAAUAUCGAUUUUUUUAAUCGAAAAAAAUAUAAAAUAAAAGUUUUUAAAAAAUUCUGGAGCCAAUGAUUAAAUCUUUUAAGAUACUUACUACACUCAUAAUACACAGAAAGAUAAAAAUUCUUCAUUGAAGUACUUAUUUUCUUGACUUAAGAAAAUAUUUAGGAAAACGAAAAUUAUAUUGGUUGAAUUAAAAUUUUCUUGAGUCUUCGCAAAAUAUUUUCUUGCUCCAAAACAACCUAGGAUUUCCUUAAAAGUUUCUUGUUUCAAAAUGAUUACACAGCUGACAAUGGAUUCAAUCGUAUGCUGUCUUCGGUCAAUACUGUAUCACGGAGCCAUCGACAUCAUCACAGAUUGAUUGAAUCAAUAAAGAAUAUUAUUCCUAUUUUCAGUGGAUUCACAAAUUUUUAUUAAUGGAUAAGGAGUUGAAAAAAUUAAAUUGGAUGAGAGUAAUGAUAAUAAAAAAAUCACCCAUAAUCGAUGCUGGCAGGAGAUGAUAAAUUAAAAACAACAUUAACAAAUAAUUUGAAAUAUUAUCGCAACACUAACUUCUAAACGCUUUGUGAAACUUCUAUACAUACUAUUGUUUAUUAAUGCUUUCAAUUGUUACUUCUAUUGAAAACUUUCUAAAAUUUUUUUAUCUAUGUAAUCUUCCCAUAAAUAAUUCUUUUCCUUUUUCCUAAAACACAGGCCAUUUUAACUUUAUUGAAGUUUUUAGAAGAUUGGGACAAAAUGUUCACUAACACAAAAACUCCUAAAGUGUCUACCCCGAAGAACUCAAUUUCAGAAAAUUCAGUUUUGAAGGAAGUGACUCCAAAUAACUUGUAACCGGGCAGCAAUAAUCUAAGACGUGAGAGUGUGGCUCUCUCGCUUCAUCUAUUUUCUUUCUCUCUCUCUCUCUCUCUUCUUGCUUUAAAAGAUAAGUGCAGUAGUCUAAUCUCUGCGUUAGAAUUUGGGGGAUGAUUCCGCGCAGCAUGGGACCGCAAAUUAGUCCCUGCGCAUAAUUAGGUGGGGUCAACGCAGGUUGGUGGCCCAGAGAACUGACCCAAGACGAUGGAAUCAAAAGACGAUACUUAAGUUCGAGAGCUGUAGCUGAUCGGUCGUAUCCACUCUACUCUCUCUAAAUCGACUACUAUAUAUAUUUCUUUUCGAGCAUUGUAGUAUAUAAAAUAUAGCGAGUUUAAGUUAACUUGUGGUUAAUUAUAAAUUACAUAAGUGUGUUCGUGAUCCUAUGGGAUAUCUCAUCACCGAAGGGUCAAUUACGUCCGUCACCGUUGUCAAGGACUUGCUGUGGGAUAGCCAGGAGGAUGCAAAGACGAUCAGUACCAUCUGUAAGUCGUAAUGCCUUUUUGGUCGCCAUAUAUAUUUUAUAUUGUUAUACGUGCAUAUUUGCUUUCUCUUCAACGCGGUUAAUUACCUUAUUAUCUUAUUCCCGCUCAAAUAAAUUUAAGAAACACACGCGUCUCGAGUUGAUGAAUUUCCUUGGACCACUUGUAAAUACAUAUAAAAUUAUUAUAGUUUAAGUA